rfam:TPA: Bos taurus chromosome 18, whole genome shotgun sequence.
UCCCUGGUAGUCCAGUGGCUAAUACUCUGGGCUCCCAAUACAGGGGGCCUGGGUUCAAUCCCUGGUCAGGGAA